GGUUCCAUAGUGUAGCAGUUAGUACAUCUGCUUUACACGCAGAAGGCCCUGGGUUUGCGCCCCAUUGGAGCCA
rnacentral:tRNA from 1 species